rnacentral:lncRNA from 1 species
ACCUACUUCAAUUCCCUGAUUUUAUGGAGGCAUAAACUAGGCUCCAAUGUUACACAGGUUGCAGAGAAGCAAACCUGGAAUUUGAACUCAAGCCUUUUAACUACAAUUCCAAUCUAAGUUCCAUAAUAUAAAACUCUCACUACUCUUAUUCCAUUUCAAGUCCUUAAUUGAAGGUCUUCAUCUAAUAUCAAAUAUGAAUCAUAACCGAAUGCAAUAAGGGAAGAUUUUGUAAGCAGAGCAAAAAUCCAACAAAUCUCUUUUGGGUAAAGGAACUUGAGAAGGGAAGAGGGAGGAAGAAAAAGCUGAGGUUGAUCAUCUAGAAGAGAGAAAGCAAGAGUAAAAUGAACUGGGAAUGAGGAUUUGUUAGAGAAAGAAGAAAGGAAUCCUAGAAUGAGUGCUGUGACACAUGUUAAAAUAUGGAAAUUGCUCUUCAAAUAACCAGGAAUGACCCCAGAGAAAAAUUCCUGAAGGCAAAAUCUCUGGGCAAAGACU